rnacentral:sRNA from 1 species
AUGGCUGUCGUCAGCUCGUGUCGUGAGAUGUUGGGUUAAGUCCCGCAACGAGCGCAACCCCCGUCGCAUGUUGCCAGCAUUUAGUUGGGGACUCAUGCGAGACUGCCGGUGACAAGCCGGAGGAAGGCGGGGAUGAGGUCAAGUCAUCAUGCCCCUUAUGUCCAGGGCUACACACGUGCUACAUUGGCGCGUACAGAGGGUUGCGAUACCGCGAGGUGGAGCGAAUCCCUCAAAGCGCGUCUCGGUUCGGAUUGCAGGCUGAAACCCGCCUGCAUGAAGGCGGAGUUGCUAGUAAUCGCGGAUCAGCACUGCCGCGGUGAAUACGUUCCCGGGCCUUGUACACACCGCCCGUCACACCAUGGGAGUGAGCAACACCCGAAGCCGGUCGCCUAACCCGCAAGGGAGGGAGCCGUCGAAGGUGGGGCUCGCGACUGGGGUGAAGUCGUAACAAGGUAGCCGUAGCGGAAGCUGCGGCUGGAUCACCUCCUUUCUAGGGAGCCCUCACAGGGCACCGGUCGCCGGAGGAUCGUCACCUGGCUCGCAAGAGCCCGUGACGCUCUCCUCGAGCGCGGCCGGCCACUAGAAAUGUCGACCGAAUCUGGCAGGCCGCACAGGCGAGCUCAACGAGCUCGCCUUCGAGGCGGCUCGCAUGCUGUUGAGUUUUGAGAGACCGGCUCGCCGCCGGUGGCUCGCUGGACUUGUGUCCCGGGCUUCCAAGUGGCGAGUUUCGCCUCUUCGCGGACCUUGAAAACUGCACAGUAGCCAAUGACACGGGUAUCACCGGGCGAAGCCGUAAGGCUUCACCCAGAUCACCGUCAAGAUAGUAAGGGCACAUGGUGGAUGCCUUGGCACCAGGAGUCGAAGAAGGGCGUGAACGGCUGCGAUAAGCCGCGGUUAGGCGCUGAAUAGCCGUUGACCCGCGGAUGCCCGAAUGGGGAAACCCGG